rnacentral:rRNA from 1 species
UACGGAGGGGGCUAGCGUUGUUCGGAAUUACUGGGCGUAAAGCGCACGUAGGCGGCUUUGUAAGUUUAGAGGUGAAAGCCCAGGCUUAACCCUGGAAUUGCCUUUAAGACUGCAUCGCUAGAAUUGUGGAGAGGUAAGUGGAAUUCCGAGUGUAGAGGUGAAAUUCGUAGAUAUUCGGAAGAACACCAGUGGCGAAGGCGACUUACUGGACACAUAUUGACGCUGAGGUGC